rnacentral:rRNA from 1 species
UACGGAGGGUGCAAGCGUUAUCCGGAUUUACUGGGUUUAAAGGGUGCGUAGGCGUCCUGGAAAGUUACGGUUGAAAUCUCCUUGCUUAACAAGGAAACUGGCCGUAAAACUAUCAGGAUUGAGUACAUUUGAAGCGGGCGGAAUGUGUCAUGUAGCGGUGAAAUGCUUAGAUAUGACACAGAACACCAAUUGCGAAGGCAGCUCGCUAAACUGUAACUGACGCUGAGGCACGAAAGCGUGGGGAUCAAACAGG